AGAGUUUGAUCCUGGCUCAGGACGAACGCUGGCGGCACGCUUAACACAUGCAAGUCGAACGAGAGAAGAGGAGCUUGCUUUUCUGAUCUAGUGGCGGACGGGUGAGUAACACGUGAGCAAUCUGCCUUUCAGAGGGGGAUACCGAUUGGAAACGAUCGUUAAUACCGCAUAAUAUAAUUGAACCGCAUGAUUUGAUUAUCAAAGAUUUAUCGCUGAAAGAUGAGCUCGCGUCUGAUUAGCUAGUUGGUAAGGUAACGGCUUACCAAGGCGACGAUCAGUAGCCGGACUGAGAGGUUGAUCGGCCACAUUGGGACUGAGACACGGCCCAGACUCCUACGGGAGGCAGCAGUGGGGAAUAUUGCACAAUGGAGGAAACUCUGAUGCAGCGAUGCCGCGUGAGGGAAGAAGGUUUUAGGAUUGUAAACCUCUGUCUUCAGGGACGAAAAAAGACGGUACCUGAGGAGGAAGCUCCGGCUAACUACGUGCCAGCAGCCGCGGUAAUACGUAGGGAGCGAGCGUUGUCCGGAAUUACUGGGUGUAAAGGGAGCGUAGGCGGGAUCGCAAGUCAGAUGUGAAAACUAUGGGCUUAACCCAUAAACUGCAUUUGAAACUGUGGUUCUUGAGUGAAGUAGAGGUAAGCGGAAUUCCUAGUGUAGCGGUGAAAUGCGUAGAUAUUAGGAGGAACAUCAGUGGCGAAGGCGGCUUACUGGGCUUUAACUGACGCUGAGGCUCGAAAGCGUGGGGAGCAAACAGGAUUAGAUACCCUGGUAGUCCACGCCGUAAACGAUGAUUACUAGGUGUGGGGGGACUGACCCCUUCCGUGCCGCAGCAAACGCAAUAAGUAAUCCACCUGGGGAGUACGACCGCAAGGUUGAAACUCAAAGGAAUUGACGGGGGCCCGCACAAGCAGUGGAGUAUGUGGAUUAAUUCGAAGCAACGCGAAGAACCUUACCAGGUCUUGACAUCGUAUGCAUAGCUCAGAGAUGAGUGAAAUCUCUUCGGAGACAUAUAGACAGGUGGUGCAUGGUUGUCGUCAGCUCGUGUCGUGAGAUGUUGGGUUAAGUCCCGCAACGAGCGCAACCCUUACUGUUAGUUGCUACGCAAGAGCACUCUAGCAGGACUGCCGUUGACAAAACGGAGGAAGGUGGGGAUGACGUCAAAUCAUCAUGCCCCUUAUGACCUGGGCCUCACACGUACUACAAUGGCUGUCAACAGAGGGAAGCAAAGCCGCGAGGUGGAGCGAACCCCUAAAAGCAGUCUUAGUUCGGAUUGUAGGCUGCAACCCGCCUACAUGAAGUCGGAAUUGCUAGUAAUCGCAGAUCAGCAUGCUGCGGUGAAUACGUUCCCGGGCCUUGUACACACCGCCCGUCACGCCAUGGGAGUCGGUAACACCCGAAGCCUGUAGUCUAACCGUAAGGAGGACGCAGUCGAAGGUGGGAUUGAUGACUGGGGUGAAGUCGUAACAAGGUAGCCGUAUCGGAAGGUGCGGCUG
rnacentral:rRNA from 1 species